rnacentral:rRNA from 1 species
UACGGAGGGUGCAAGCGUUAUCCGGAUUUAUUGGGUUUAAAGGGUCCGUAGGCGGAUUCGUAAGUCAGUGGUGAAAGCCUGCAGCUUAACUGUAGAACUGCCAUUGAUACUGCGAGUCUUGAGUGUAUUUGAAGUAGCUGGAAUAAGUAGUGUAGCGGUGAAAUGCAUAGAUAUUACUUAGAACACCAAUUGCGAAGGCAGGUUACUAAGAUACAACUGACGCUGAUGGACGAAAGCGUGGGGAGCGAAC